UUGUUUUGUCUUUUAAAUAUUCUUAACUGAACAACUUGUUUCCAUUCCACCGGUGUUACACGUAGUGUUGUUAAAGAUACCUUAUUCGCAGGGGCGCCUGGGUGGCUCAGUUGGUUAAGCGUCCGACUUCAGCUCAGCUCAUGGUCUCACAGUCCAUGAAUUCGAGCCCCACAUCAGGCUCUGUGCUGACAGCUCAGAGCCUGGAGCCUGCUUUGGAUUCUGUGUCUCCUUCUCUCUCUGCCCCUCCCCUCCCCAUACUCUCUCUCUGUCUCAAAAAUAAAUAAAAACAUUAAAAGAGAUUUUAAAGAUAUCUUGUUCACAGUGCCUUCUAGGCUAAAUUCCUAGAAGUGACAAUGGGUAUGCACCUGAAAAUGUGGAUAUGUAAUGCAGGAUUACUCUCCUAUUUCUAAUAUCAGCAUAUUAUAUGAAAACUAACUGUGUUCUGCAUUUUGUUAGGUCAGAAUGACAGUGAAGGUAGAAAUGAAGAACCAACAUGUGGAAAAAAUAUGUCUGUAGUUUUCUGCCUAUAUUUUCCUCUGUGUCCAUAUGUUACUCCCUUGAUGGCAUGUAUUGGAGCCACUUAUUUUCAUCAUGUGGUGAAUCUUCUUUCCCCACCCCCCUCUGUCUUUUGAACAAGUAUAUCUUGGAUAUGCCUGAUAACAUAUGACUUGACAGUGUUAUGCAGCCUUUCCUUUCAGUGGUAGGCACUGCUACAGUUGUUAAGAAAUAUUUAGGAAAAAAAUGUAAAUUUUCUCAAAGGAGUAAGAUAUGCAGGGUAAUUUAGGAUAAAAAGUGGACCCACAAAUGUGGCAACCAUACAUAUGGUAUUGGAGUGAUUAUUACAUUUACCUCAUCAGAUGGUGAAGCAAUGGAAUUGUCUUAAUUUCUCAGAUUUUCCCUCCAAUUUCCAUCUUUUUUUUCUUUCCUUUCAUAGAACAGUUUGAUAAAGUUAAAGGUAUUAAUCCAGUUUUAAUUAUACAGUGCUUAUCUACUGAAAAUAAUUAUUUCUAACUAAACCUGGGCAAACUGGAAGUGUGUGAUUAGCCCAGAUUUUAUUAUAACUUCCAUAGUUGUCUUAAAUUUUUACAGAUCAUCAGAGGAUCACAUUGCCAUUACUUAGUGAAGAGUCAUCAACCGUAUUUUGAAAAAUGAGUGGCAAAAGUGAUGACAUUCUGUUUCUUCUCACUGUUUUCUGAUUUCUGGAGCACUGCCAUUCUCCACAUUUCCUCUGGCCUUAAGAAUGCCAGCUGGCUAUUUAAAAGAAGAAGAAAGAAUAAAAUGCAAAAACAACAACAAAAAAACCCAGAAAUCAUGGCUUAGGGAACCUCGGCUCAGCCCCUCCCUUAGUGCCAUGUAGCCUGGAGCUCAUUGGCCAGGUUCUUUCUGCUGUUUUGAUACUCGGCAGACCUGGAUCACCGCCAUUUUCUAUUCUGCCAACUGGCCUUGAGCAACGGAUCAACUCUUCUCUUUGCUCCAGGCUUGGAGGAGCUGGAGUGCAGUUUCUUUCCACAGUUUUGACCACCCUGCUUUUGGGCAAUCUUGUUGGUGACUUUAUGUUACUGAUUUAACAAAAACAACCUGUCCGUAGAUUGGUUGCGUGCAGCUUUUCUAAUCGUCCACUAAGACCUUAAACAAAGGGGCUAUGUGGCUUUAAGCUAGGCAGAUACACACACACACACACACACACACACACACACACACACACACACACAUGCACGCACACAUUUGUGCUGAUGGUGGUAUAGCCAUAGGAUGGCCAGGUACAUAUGCUAUAACGGGUAUGUAUAGUUUCCUUUUAAAAUAGCAUUUGGCUGUGCAAUUGCAAACUUUUGUUUCAUAGUGUAGGUGUAACUUACAUGAAAGAAGCGCUACAAGAUUAGAUAGAAAGUAUUGCUCAUCUAUGAAUUUAGAAAUCCCUUUCCCUGAAGAUUCAAGUAAAAGGUUUUGGUUCUUUUAAUUUGGUGUGAUAAAAAAUGUUGCCCUUUGGUGAAAUCAGAAUUAUGGAGCAUGAUGCUUCUCAUUUCCUGGUGCUGUUAUUUUUACUGCACCAAAUAUGUAUUUUAGAUGGCAUUGUGAAUUACUUCAGUUGUCAGUGCAGUCAGUAAACCUGUGAUUACAUUAUAUUGCUUUUGCUCAUAGGAUCAUUUUCUCAGCCAGUGCACCUGGGAAAGACAGCUACAUUUUCCACCAAAUUGUAGAAGCUGAGAAAAUUAGGUGGAUUUUUUUUUCUUUUUGUUUUGCUCUAAAACGUGGUUGCUUUGUAGAAUGUUGGUGAGCUCACUAAUAAACAUAUGAAAGCACAGCCUCAUCAAAUGGAAAAUAAAAUCAGAACACCAAACUCCAGUACGUUUUGCAAUAAAGAAAACAAACAAAUUGUUAUUUUUUCCAAUGCAAUUAAAUAAAGAGACCGCUAAUAUUGCAUUUAUCUAAUUAGCGUCUCUGCAGUACAAACUGCUCUUCAUUUUCAUCCCCUUCUUUGGAUAGGUGUGUAUGUUGUCGGGCUUUACCAACAGAAAACGUAGCUGGGGUUUUGGAAAUAGCCUUCGACUCUUCGUGCAGGCCAGCCUCCUUGCUAAAAGAUGGCGUUGGGAGAAGCACUUGUGAGAGAUUUCUGAGCUUCAAAAAGAACACCUGUUGCUGUCAGCACCGCUUCCAGCAAAGCGUUGUUAUGGGUGUGUAACUACUUUCUGUCAGCAGGAGUCUUUGUUUCAACCUGAGUGUUGUCCUGUCAGAAGUCAGAAAAAAGGCCCCAAGUCUCCUGAAUUUCAGCAGUGAGUUGAGAUGAGGAUCUUUUUAAAAAUGUCAGGCCAAUUUAGGAGUUUGAUGUGCACCGAAUGGCCCCUUAUACCCAUGCGGCAAUAACAUGCUAAACUUUAUUCUCCCUUAAGUAUCCUUUCACCCAGCUGUCUUCUAGAAACCCUGGUGUUUAUUCAAAACCCAUAUUUAUAUUGUAUAGAGUAUGAAGAAAUGCUUGAUUAUCGUUUAUCUUACCCUCUUCUCAACAUUCAAGGGGAUGUGCCAUUAUCUAGAAACGUAUAAAACUAACAUCCAGUGGAAUUCAUGUUAACAAGUAUGCCAUGAGUGUGAACAGUAGUUAGAGAAAUAUCCUUCCUCAGACAAACAGAACUACCUCAGCAAUUUGUGUAUUUUGACCCGUUGCUUUGGGUAAGCAUGUUCUGUCAUCCAAAUCUGCUACAAGAAUGGAUAGAAAUCUUGGGGUACCAACGUAGUCAGGGGGUUGGUUGAAUUUAGCAUUUUUUGAUACCAGAAACUGGAAAGAAAUAAUUGAUGGCCCAUACGGUAUGUGUAAUGGGCACUAUCAGCUGUUUAAACAUACACGAGUUAUUUUCAAGCUUUCCAAACCCAUCUGUCACCAUAUUGUUCAGCCACACAAAAUAAAUUGUCAUUUCUCUCUAUAUAAACUGAUGUAGUCCUAAUUGAUUUUUGCUUCAAACUUUUGUGUAAAUAGACUUGUGUCAUCAGGCUCUAUUUUUUAUUUGUUUUUGGUUUUGUUUCCCCUACUAGUAAUUUAUUGUAUAAUUUUGCCUAUAUGAAAAAUACAAACAGGUACAGCCAGCCAUGUGGCCACAUCCUUAAAAAAAAGUGUUAAACGCACUUCGUAUAGAUUUAAAAAAAAAUACUUGUGAAAACAACAGCAUAUCUUUUUCAGUGUGUACAGUUGAGUUCAAAAAAAGCAUAGUGUGUCUUCAUUGCAAAUCCAAGUAAUAUAUCUCGUAGUAUCUUAUUUAAUCACAGACAUUUUUCUCUUACACGUCACAGUGUUAAGUGUAAUUUACAUAAACUCCUGGGGCUUUCUGCAAUGUGGGAAACUGAGUUCCUAAACGGGGGUGAUAGGAAUGAGUUUGAACACUGUUCUCUGUAGGAACCAAACAAUGUUUAGGAUGCUUCCAGUUCUCUAGAGAAUUCUGUGGGGCAUUAGGGGGUACGUAACUGAAUAGGAAAGUGCACUUUUUUUUUCCAGUGGGGGCAAACACACAGGAGAUUUGUUGGUAACUGAUUCACUGGUUCCUGAGUAUGUUUUACCUCUGGCGGUGUUAAAUAGACCCAAGAUUGCAUCGGUUUCCCCUAGGAGAUAUAUACUCCAGAAAUACCCAUUAUCAUUGCAUGAGUUAUCAUAACACCUAAUACCUCAGCUGGAGUUUAAACGUUAUGACAGUUAGGGGACUUAACUUGGGUAGACUUAGGAGGGCCUGUGAAUACAAGUUAAAAAUCAUGCAGUUGGCUCUCAUAGAAGAUUUAAUUGUUAAAGUAAAUGUGUAUGGUCACUUUGAAGUCUUAGAUUUUCCAUGUAAAUUAAUGAACAAAGGGUACAUCAUUCUCCUUAAAUUUCUAUGAGUUUUUUUUCCUUUUUUUUUCUUUUGCAUUUGCAUAAGAGGCAAUGAAACAGUACAAAGUUUUAAUUCUUUCCCCUCCGCCCAGCUAAACCACUGGUUUAGUGAUUAGCAGAGGAGACUUUUAUAUUAUGUUUUCGGCUCUGUUCCCUGGUUGCAAUUCACUCAACCUUGACGUAAAUCUGAAAUAAGUACUUUGUAAAGGGUUAGCCUUUUGUGCAGGGUGUGUGAGAAAUCCUGCAGGACCAGGUUGGUUACAGAAACCAGUGUCAAGUUGCCUUUCCUGAACGGUGAAUAAGAAAGUGCAGACAACGGGAAAGCAGGUGGGGGGGAAAUCUUCCAAAGUACACCCUCACCCUUCACUUCCGAAACCCUUAUUGUCUACCUUUAAAGGACUCCCAGUUCUGUUCAGUGAUAAGUAUUCAUUGGGUGGGUUAUUUUUGCUUUUUUUUUUCUUUUUUGAAAUUAUCCAGUUAUUGCUAGUGGGUACAGUAUGUCCGGACAGUAGACAAGAGUUUCAUUCACAGAAUCCACAUUUUGUGUUUUGCCUGUUGAGGCUGGUUGCUCUUCAUUUAAUCUAUUGGAUCAUGCUGUUUGCCUUAGGUGAUCAGCAACCUUUAAUGUAAAUCCUAGGCAAUCUUGUAAAACUAAUGGAAAGAGAGAAAAUACACGCACACGCACGCACAUACACACCGUAAGCAUUCCUUUCAUUGUUUAUAUCUGUAUUGUCCUAAAGGGUAGGUUUCAUUAUGUAGCUCCUUCCCGCCUUUGAAAUACCUACUCCUUUUUUCCUUUAAUUUUUUAAACUGAGUAUAUUCUAUUAUUUGUAAAUAGAAGUAUGUUUUCUUAUCAGUGCACUGCCUUGUACUUAGAAACUUAAAAAAAAAUGAGUAUUUUGUUUAGUUCUGAAUACAGUCUAUUUCCAGUUAGCCUGAAAGUUGUUUAAAAUAAAUCACGUUCCUAAAAUCCAACCAAAAAAAAAAAAAUCUUCCCCUUAUAUAAACGGCAGUUCAGCAUUGGUUAAGCAUUUUUUUUGGCAGUCACAAUGACCAACUAAUUUGAGUUUCAGUUCUUUUUGGAGAAAGAGAAGAGGGUGUAAUUCUUGAUAAGUCUAGCUGCAGAUUUGUAUUGAGUACCAAAACUAAAAAAGUUUUCUUAAUAAGAAACCUUCUUUAGUGAUGAAAAAAUAUCCCCCCCCCCAAAGUGACAAAAGUAAAUAGCAUUUUCUUGAUCCGUCAGAACAAUCAGAAUAAAGAGAAUGUUGAAAGCUUGAAGAUACAGAGGAUCAUUUCGCUACUUCACAAAAGUAUUUUCAAAUGGCUCUGCUGAGUUAGGGUUUUUAUUUUUAAUAUCAUUGAGUUACUUAAAAAAACCAUAAUGGUUUGUUAAGAGCAGGAGUUAUACCUACCUGCAAAUAUAUAUACAUGUCUUCUCGUACUUUCCUUCGUUGAGACUUUGUUAUUGUAUUACUGUGUGUGUGUGUGGGGGGGGGGGUGUAUAUGCGUGUGUGUAUGUGUUCUUUUUCUUUUUUUUGGUCUACAUUGCUGCAGUCAUAGCUUGUUAUGAAUCAUUUUGUGCGAGCACUAUGAAAAUCUACAUCUUUUUUUGUAAUUAAUUUUGAAAAAUAUUUCAGAAUUUGUUGAUUGAGAUCUGCACGUGAUUAAAGGACCUUGCUUCCCUUUCCUUGGCAAGCUCAGGUUAGGUUGGUAACCAGGUGUUUUUACCAACGAUUGAAAACUUUCCUUUAGACAAGUUUAUAUAUAUUUUUUAAUACCACAGUACAUACUCAGUAGUGUUGCCGAUGGUGGUCAGAACAGACUAGGUACUUAUUGUUUUUCUUGCUCGGUUUGAAAGCUGUGCAUGAUUUGAGCCAGUAACUUAAAGACACACAUUCUGUGUAGAUGGAUCUUUAGACAUUACUCAUGUUUAUCCCUCUCCCCUGCAUCAAGUUGCAUUUUAAUCCAUUCUAUCCUUAAAGUCACCAGGGGCACAAUUCUAUUUCCGUUACUUAGUUUGUAUUUAUUUUUGCUUUUUCUAUGCCCUCCCCUGCAAUUGCGUCCUCUCUGGCUACCGGAGUUCUGCGGCAAUUGAGAAAAAAAAAAAAAAAAACAAGAUUAAGGAAGGUUAAGAUUAAAGAAGUUGAGAGAGCAAAGAUUAAGGAAGUUGACCUCGCAAAAUAUCAGCUUUCUUCUGUCUGACACAGCUGAUAGAGGAGAGCGUGGCUUGCCCUGCAUUUAGAUAGGUUUCCUAACAUUGAGCCGCAUGGCCUCCUAGACUAAGGUAGUGCCUGCUGUGUGCGCCAGAUACACAGACUGUAUAUAUAAAUGGCCCAGAGGCAGCCCUUGCCUUCACGGUAUUUGUAGUCUCAUAGGGGAAGAUAAGGCACACGCACAAAUGACCAGAAUAUAGCUCGUUAUUUGAAAGUGUCAGGUAACGUUCAUAUACUUGUCUCACCUUGCACCGCAGAGUUUUUAUAAAAUGUUUUGAAGCUUUUAGAUCAAAAGGGUUGUAUUGGUUCAAAGUAAUGAUAACACUAAUCCAUGAUGAAUGUUAAUGUUGCUUUAGUCUUUAUGAAAAUAAAGCUGUGACUCUUGUACCUACCGAUUUAGUAAAUGUGGUAGAGAUGAUGAGGGAAGGGAAUAUUAAUGAUAGAAUGGCAAAUAGGUUUAGAUCCCUUCUUCUCUACCUCCCAAAAAGCAAGCUGAGGUUUUUUUUUCUGUGUUACCAACUCAGCAGGGACUUUUUUAUGCUAAACUGAUGGUUCUUAAUACUUCAGCCAUCAAAUGGGGAGUGAAAAUAGUUAUUUUUUUUCCCCACCGUGCUGUCUGCUAGGUAGCAUUUUUAAAAGAGAAAUACGUAUAUGACUUCGGGGCAUUUGUCCAGUCUGGGUUCUAAAAGGCCCCUAAGUUUUGCCUAGAGUUGAUAAAAGUAAAUUUUAUAGCCCUACGGGCAGUUUGCAUCAGUGUACAAAUUAUUUUACCCACUCACGGUUGUCAACGUUUCUUUUAACUUUUCUCACAGUGCGUAUAAUUUUGCAUUUGGGAUUUGCCUAAAAUGGAUUCAGCAGCACUUCCCUGGAAUGUUCAAAAUAGUUCAAGGCACAAAGUAACCUAGAUAUUUAAACGGCCCCUUUACACCUUAGCAACGUGGUUGUUAUGAUUUUAUGAAAACAGUCUUUGUUUCUCUUCUCUGCUAACUUCUGGCUUUAGUCAGCAAAGAUUCCUCUGCCUCAUUAAUGUUGUGAGGACUCUAAAUAAAAUUCUUUUCAUGGGUUGCUUUUUGGGCAGACCUGAUAUUGAUCACUGAUUUUAGUGCUUGUGUAUUCCUGAUUCAUCUUCCCAUUUGGGAAAGUAGCCUUUUAAAAAAGAGUUUUGAAUGCCUGCCGUAAUCCUCUCUCCAUCUUUGGGAGAUGAUUUGAGCCUUAAUGUUGACUUUAGCCUUUUUCUAAUUUUGUUUUUUUUUUUUUUUUUAAAGAUGAAUGGGCAGUAACAUGAAAGGGGAUGAAUGGAGCCGAGAGUCAUCUUUAAAUUUUUUUGAAGCAUAAAUAACUCAUUCUUGUUCUUUGAGUAUCUCAGUUUCCUAGUGCCCCCCCAGACAGUCAAGAUGAAGUCUCAGCAUUCAUACAUGUAGAACUCAAGGCACUGUGUAUUUGUAUAAGAUAUUACUAAAGGAAUUAUAUAAAAACAAAAUGCCAGUUUAUCCGUCACUGCUAUUAUUAAAACCAACAAUUUGAUGACUCAGUUUCAUUGUAAGGGUACACACAUGGAAAAGGUGCAUUUAAAAUGCACCUGGAAGAUUUUAUAAGAGUUGCAGCGUUUUCUUUUUUAAUGUUUGGAGAUUUGGUGUCAAAUUUUAUUUGUAAACACGCAUUGCCCUAAGAAUAAUAUCCUCAUAUGGCCUCAGAUAUAUUGAAACUGUGUUCAUUCACACUAUCAAUAAAAACAUAUCAGUGCCUGUGAAGAGCCAGGCCUUAGUCUGGAUCCUGUGUAUUUAGUAGCAAACCAGAUGGAAAUGUCUUUGCUCUUAUGGUAGUUACUUUGGUUUUGUACAUCUGAACAUUCAAGGCUAAUAAAUAUAAAAUAUUUGUGGUGUCUGAGACCUAGGAAUCAAUCAGAAUGAGCUCACACCUACUUAGUCCUUAUAAUAGCCCCAAAAGUGACACUUUAUGAAUUUAGUGUUACCCAAAUAAUAGUGUAAUAUACAAAGAUGGAUGCCUAGAUUUAAAAUGUUAAAAGCUUAUUUUAGAAGGCCAAUGAAUAACAUAUUCUCAUUUUUGUAUCAAUAUUUCAAGUGCUGCUGGGUAACAUAUUGAUAUGCCGACACCAACCAUGGAUGAUAAUAAAUAUGGCAUUUGUAUUCAUAUUAAUAAACUGGAUAGAAUAAAUGGCAAAAACAUCUUCAUAGGAUUUCAAAAUGGGGUUUGUCAUUCAUAAAUAUUAAUAUAUUUUGCAGUGCUGAAGCAUUAACAUUACAGAAUAAAAGACAGCUGGCUUUAUCUUGAGAUUUUAUGGUGUUUAGUAGAUUUUAAAACAUGGGCAUAUGUUACAUAAAGCUCAGACUCCUUUAAGGGCAACCAAAGACCACAGGUAUUCUGACAGGAACAUCAUCCUUACAAAUGAAAUCUCGAGGUAGGGUGUCUUUGUAAAAACAGUUGGUUUUAAAUUUCACCUCCCUGUCCUUUUUCUAAAAAAAAGAAAAAAGAAAAAAAAAAGAUAUUUCGUAUUCCGCAUUAGCAUUCCAAAGAUUCUUUACUAUUUCUAGUUAGAGAGGUUUUUCUGUCAUUUACACAGUGUUUUCAUAUACCUGGCAGGUUUGAUUCAGGAUAAUUUGAUAACCCUAUAAGCACAUGCAAUCCGUCAUAAAACUGUUACAAAAAUAUAAUUGUAAUUACGGAUUUGAAAAAUCUUAAUUGUACAGAACCCCACUGAGUAGAUGAUGAAAAAAAAUCAGUGAUUAAGUACAGGCCAAUAAUGGGAGAACAUAAAUCCACAAAAUGAAUCUUAUGAUACCAGGAGUGUUUUCUCAUACUAAUUGCUAACAUGCUUUGCAGCACUGAGAAAUACUGAGAAAUAAGUUUCCCUAUGCCUGUCUUUAACCUUGGAGUCUAUGGAAGAUUGUUGCCAGGGUGCUUGAGUAGCCUGGGCUCUGAUUUGGGGUCUGGCUUUCCCUCUGUUUGGGAGGGGUGGAAUAACUAAGUUUAAACAUGGAUCUGUCGUUCAUUGUUUUCCCUCCUUUUUUGUUGGAGUUCCAUUUAUAAUAAUCUACAAGUUCAAGAGCUUUCAUUGAAGGCCAGUAGGAGAUUUUAUCUUUUUUCAUCAUCCUUUCCCAAUGUUAACAGUAAGUGACAACUGUAUUUAUGCUGUGUUGUUAAGUUAAUCUAAUAUUGUUUACCAUUAUGUGCCUGGUUAUCCCUGGUCAUAGGCUAAAGUUUACAGAGUAUCAGAAAUUUUAAGCGCAAAACACUAACUUUUCAUUUGUUUCAGUAAUAAGGGCAAAACUAUUCCUUUGUUUUGUGAAUUGAGUUUAGGAUUGCCCUAAUAAUUAAAAAUAUGAUUACCUGAGUUCCAGCAUUAGAUUUUCUGGGUCUUAAGAAAACCUUACCUCUUAAUUGUACCAUAAUUAUUAAUGUUGGAUUUGGAUUUGGAAGUAAUGCUUUUGUGAAUUUUAGUGUCACUGAAAAACAAAAACAUCCUUAGAGAUAUAUUAUUUUCCCAACUUUGAGAUGAAAGGCAGACAGUAGCUCUGAUGCUUGAAAUGUGCUGUGAUGUUGGGAUACAGAAUUGUAAUAGCACUUGCCAUUUGAAGAUCAUGGAUUUGAUGCAGGUUUUUAGAUUUUGGGGGAAGAAAAGGAGAAAGUUUCAGUGUGGUCGUCAUUUGGCAUUCUGUGACUUUGGGACACAUGAGGAUGAGAAAUAGGGUCUUAAGUAACCAGUAAACUCCAGCACUAAACCUGUCCUUUGCAAAAGCUGACAUAUGAGUUACUAGGGUCAAAGAUGCCAGGACUAUGAUUAUGGAAAUUUUGGAGAUAUGGCAUGUAGGUGUACUUAGCAUCAUAAAAAUUAGGAAAUGCCACUAGACAUGAAUGAAUUUUCUGAAGAUCUUAGAUUUCCCAAAUUAAUCUAGGUUACCAGGUUUGCCAAAUGGGUGUUUGUGUGUAAAGGACCAAAAAAUACAAGGCAUAUAUAACACUAGGAUGUGCUUCUUGGCUUAGCAAACAUGCAGUCUGUUCUGGGAGGAACACAGGCCCAUGGACUGGCAGGCGAACAGAUACAAUAGCACUGCAGCACUUUAGUAUCAGAAGGACUCUGAAUAAAGGACAUCGAUCCUUCACCAAAAGGACACUGAUUUUCAAGACCUGUACAGUUGACUCAGGCAUUGGGAUCUGGGGUUAAUUCUAUUAACUGGGUAUGGAAGCCUUGUAGGAGUUAAUAGCCAGUUCGAAUAGGCUAUUUAUGUGUUAGUAAAAACGGUUGGUAAUUUAAAAUACUGUGGUUUAUCAAAGUAGCCAUUCAGAAAAAAAGUAUAGCCUGCAGUUUAUUUGUUAUAAAAAUAUUUUGUCAACCUGUAGCGUCUUAAAAGCCCUUAUUAUUUGAGAGACAAAUUAAAAACUUUGAGGGGUGAGGAUAGUUGCCAAUGUGAACCUUGAUACCUGGUGGUUGCCAGUGUGCUGGGUGUUUUGCCUUUGAACGGUUAAUCUUUUACCGUCUCUAUUUGAGAUUAGCAAUAUACUGAAAUCACACUUACUCUUUAAAGUUCUGUGGCGGGUUUAGCAUCAUGUUAGCAGAAGGUGUUAUUUGUAGGCCGGCUACUGGUUUGCAUAUGUGGAAAUAGACUGGUCUACACUCUGCCCACGUGACCAUAUGCUGAUGCUAUGUGUCCAUACCCUGUCCCCCAUCAACCCUUCUACUUCCCAUACUCUUGUCUAAAGAGAAUGGAUCAACUCUUCAUGGGGGGAGGUGUCUUGCCAAACAAAUCUGAUUUUUGAAAUCUGUGGAAAAGGUCACUAGUGCUUGGUAACAUUUUGGAAACGUUAUGAACACCUCUGAGUUUUGUUUUCGGGUUUUUAAUAAUUGCAGAAGAACCCUCGAUGUUAUAGUGACAAAUGCUAAUGUUGAAAUAAUGUUUCGGUUACACGGUAUACCCUUACGUUUGGAACAUGUCACCUGGUAAUGAAGAUUCUGAUUGAAAUGCUACUUGGUAUUUCACUGGAAGUUAUAAGAGGAAAAUUAGCAGAGGGAAAUAAAAAAAAAACAACUAAGUGUAAUUUUAAUUAAAUGGUUAAUUUGGAAUCAUCCAUUCCGAAGAGCUUUACUUGUGAAAACUCGGUGAUUGUUAAGUGUCUGUUAUACUACUUUUGCUUUCUCCAUUAAUAGCAUCUAGGGUUUGGGUGUUUGGAGAAUGAGACACCCAAAGAUAUUUUGGGAAGAGAUAGGAAGGCAUCAUUAACCGCAAAGUAGAAGAAUACCUCAGUGUUUGAGGUAGAACCAUUUAUUUUCACCUCUUUGCCCUGGUUUGUGCAUGCUCAUUAUCCACCUGGUCUCAGUCUCUGUGGUCCUUCCUUUGUCCCUCUCCUCACCUACCCCUGGGCCUCCUGCCUCCCUCUUCACAGUCAAACCUCUCUAAGGACCUUCUCUGAACCAUGCCAUCUGGAGCAGCCAACCCUUAUCUCAGAGCUCCGUUGACUUGCUCCAUUUCUAAUCUCCUUGGAAGACUUAUCUCUUCUUCCCGUCCUCUGCUCUGUUAAUUUAUUUCUGCUUCUAUUAUUACAUUGAUAAAUCUCACAUUUAACCAGACGUUGAGGAAUGUGCUGUUGAACUGAUGCGAAUCUUUAAUUGACGAUGGUGUUGCAACUUCAUUUGCCAUAACGUGUAGCUCCUUUUGCACGUAAUUGUAAAGAAAUCUCAGUUUAAAACUUGAAAAUGAAGGGCCGUUCAGUUUUCAGGGCUACAGAAAUGCCCUCCUACAGGUACCUUGGGUUUGUCAGUGGGCUCUAGGUAGGGUUGGGAGGUCUGACUGUCCUUGUGAUUUUAAAAACUCCCUUUUAAGACAGGUGGGGUGCCACCUUUAAGUCUACUCUGGGGGCUUGUGAGAAGGAAAAAUCCUCUCCUAUUAUUCAUUCCUGCCUAGGAAUGCUGAGCCAGUCUUACUGAUUCUCCUGUGUUUGUUUGCUUUGCCUCACUUUAAGAAUGCUUUUGAGGAACUAGUUUAGUGAGUGCAAAAUAACAUACAGACACUCUCAUGGAAAUAUUUAUCAAUACCCCGUAUUGUUAAAUAUUCAACCAUAUUACAAUAGCUUCUUUGAACUUAAAAAUGUUUUCUAAAUGUACUGCACAGUAAAUUUUGAAGAUUUUAGGCAUUUGAUAAGGUGUAUAAAUUUAGAAAUCUAGUUUGGCAAAUACUUAGCUAUCAGAGUCCUGUAAGUUUAUCGAAGGAAUACUUUUGUGGGGAAGAUGGUGAACCCCAAAUAUCCCCCCAUUUAUAAUCAGAUCAGAAAUUUAGAUUCUGUCUUCUAAUUUCAGUUCUUAUUUAUUCCAUUAUGAAUUUACUUACUCGUGUGCAUCUGUGAACAUGAAGAAAACCAACAAAAGCUUCUGAAUAUCAGUAACAACCUAUCAUCAUAGUAUUUUAAUCUAGAAAAGCAAUUGGAGCUGAAAAUAAAGCUACUUCAUAUGUGGUGAUAUUUACACUCUCCUAAAUGUUUGUCUACGUACUUAUUAUUUGUUGCUAUUUACUUAACAAAAGUUACCUUCACCCUAAAGAGGAAAUCAGUAUAUUGCAAAAUAACAUAACAGCAGUCAUGGCUUUCUGUUCUAGAAAGGUUUUCAACAGCACGUCAGCCCAAACUUCAUGUUAGUGUAUUAGUGCGUUAGUGUAUUAGCCUGUGUGGCUCAGUCAGUUAAGCGUCCAACUCUUGAUUUUGGCUCAGUUGUGAUCUCACAGUUCGGGAGAUCAAGCCCCACAUCAGGCCCUCCGCUGACAGUGUGGAGCCUUCUUGAGAUUUCUCUCUCCCUCUCUCUGCACCUUCCCACCCACACUCACACUCAAACAAAUAGACAUUGACAAAAGUUAUUGCGAAUAUAGAUGAGUCGUUUCUUUUUUCAUUCAUCCCUUAUUUAUUUUCACAAAGAUUUGUCAGAGUAUUUGCUCCCAGUGAGCCAGAUGCUAAUCUGGGCAUUGCAGUAUCAAGUUGAGAUAGACAAAAUCCCUGUUCCUUAUAAAGGUGACGUUGCAAUAAUCUUUAUAAAAGACUGUUACUUUUUUUGAAAGACUGUUUGCUCAACUAUAAUGAUAAAUAGGAAAAAAGUAAUUUGGGUAUGAUUUUUAACUUUUUUAAUGUAGUCAUAAUUGUCCCACUUCUGUUAGGACUCAUGCAUUCAGUUCCUUUUGCCGUAGAGGCAAUACAUUUGUAAAGGCCCUUCUUAUUCUCUAGGAUGCCUCAUUUCCCUAAAAGGUAGGGGUGUAUUUUUAUGAUUCAGCAUUCUGGGGUUGGUGGGGGGAGUGUGGUGUGGUGUGGUCUGUGACCACUGUACUAAGUCAACUUAAUUAGUCAUUUCUUGGAUGGACCUUCCCCUCUGGAUAUUGCCAGGAUUAAAGUUCGAAGGUAAGAGUGCUUUGAAGGAAAAAAAAAAUGCUGACAAAUAGUGUUAUCUUCAACUGGUUGUGUAAAAGGGAGAAUUUAAGCUUUAUAAGAGCUGAUAGGGAUGCUGAUUAUAACAACCAAAUUAUUACAAAAAUUAAAAGAGUGGUGAUGGUACAGCUCAAUUACAUGCAGUUUGUGGGUUAUAUUUAGUUGACUUACUGUGUUGCACAUUUGAAUCAAAAAUACUAUUUUAUUUUCAUACCCUAAGAAAGGGAUAUAUUACUGAAAACCAGUUAUCUGCUUUAUUAUAUAUUUAGACAUUUCUGUGGAAAGUUAAUGCUUAAAAUUCUUCGUGUAAUAUGCAUUUCAUUUUAUACUCAUGAUAACUAAUCUGCAUGAAAGGUAGCAGGAAUAUUGGGGUUUUUUUUCCUGAUGUAAAAAAAAUAAAAGGGUAGUAGCAGACAGCACAUCAGAGGAUAUGUUUUUUUUUCUUUUUUAAGAGAUGAAGUAACUCUCCCAGCAAAUUCUAGCAUUUUCAGAUUAUAGAGCACAUUAUGUAACUUCAUACACCAGUGUGGACCUCAGACAGAUUCUUUAAUUUUUUGGAAAGGCCUCGUAGCACACUUAAUCUGCAGAUCCUUUCUGGGGGGCAGGGGGAAGCGUAUCCUGUUAGAUUUGGUGACAUAAAGGUCAAAAGAUAAACCGUAAGUGAUACCUAUGUUUAUUUUUUUGACAGUGUUAAAUUAGCAACCCCUCAGACCUCUCCUGGAGAAGUACAACCUGAGUAAUUGAACAUGUCACUAGGGACUCUGCUUGGUUAAGCUGAUUCCUAUUAUGUUGACUUGUCAGGGGCCAAUAAUUAAAGCUGAAGAGCGAUGCUCAUUAGUGUCUGCAAGAUGAUUCAAAGAGUAAGAGAGAGAAGUCCUUGAGGCACACCUGCAAAAAGGCAGGCCCUGCAUGGAGGUGAGAGCAGACGGACUGGCUUGCUUUUCUGCUGUGUUAGCAAUCCAGCUAUAAAAGGGCUGCACUAAAUCAAGUGUUGCAAAUGUAUUCUCAACUCAGAUUUUUAAAUGCAUUUUACUUCUGCCUUUGAACAUAAUUUUGUUCCAUGUAAUCAUAUUCUGCUCAAUUAUGUUUUUAAUGCUAUCUAAGAUGUUUUAGAAAAUAGAUACAAGUCUAUUCAAAAGCACUUUGAAAAAAUUUUAUACUACUAAUCAUUUCAUUCAUUUUACUGGAAACAUCAUAAUAAUCAAAAUCUGCUUUGCUGCUUUGAACUCUCACUACCCUGUGUGUAAUCCAUGUGAGUUGCCCAGCUCUGCUGAUAAAGGCUUUAGCAUACAUUUGCCACAUUUACUUUGCAAAAAUGGAAAAUUUUAAUGUAUAUUUAACAUGAACUAAAGCACAUCUAGUACACAAGCAUUGGUCUAGAGAAGCCUGGAAAAAACAAGACUGCACACUAAGUGUACAAUUUUAAGUUUAUCACAACUUGAACAAAACUGUGGGCUUUUCUAGAACAACCCAUACAUUUUAGAACUGGAAUGGUAUGGGAACUUGAGUUUUAAAACCAUGAAAAACUUCAAGUCCUCUUCUUUUGAAAUUGGCCUUGGAUAGGUUCAAUUAUUAUAAACCUAUCAUAGAAUCAUGGAAUAUCCAAAUAUCCUAAAUUUUUUUUGGAAAAUUCAGACAAAAAUGAUUUAUUGAACAUACUUUUUUUUCUAUAAUCUGAUAUUGAAACAAAGUGUUUUGCCGUGGUGAACUGGCCCUUUUGCAUCCAGUGUUGUGCCUAUGAAAUCCAUCCUUCACACUUAAGCUGGAGAGAUGUCUUUAUCUUUUACAGGAUUGCAGAGUUAAGUCUGGAGUCUUUAGGUUGGCAUAGAUGUCCUCUAUGUACACAUGUGUAGGAUUCAGCCUUGAGGAGGCUCUUCCUGAACUCAGAGUUUGUAGAGCUUGUAUCACUGAUAUACCUUGUUAGCCGGAAAUUGUGUAUGUUUCCCUUUCCUCCAAUUGAAUGAAGUCCCUCAAGGACAAGGACUGGUUUUGUUAAUGUUUUCAGGCAUAGUGGUUGCAGUUCAGUAAAGGUUGGUUAAACUUAACUUAGGGUGCAGAAGAGACCUUUAGGGAUAGUUAUAGAUUUCCAAGACUAUCAAGGGCUCUAGAAGUCAAAUAGAACAUCUCCCACCACAUGCCAAGAAUUCCUUACAUGAUGUUCUUUAACAAAUCCUUCCCAGACUUUGUAUCAAUGAGAUCACUUCUUUGCAAGGCAGCUGUUUCUAGAUUGAGCAGUUCCAAGUUAUGAUGGUGACAGCAGUUAAAAGAGCUGUACUUUAUGUGAAUUUUCAUUUAGUGAUUGAGGCACUGAUUAUUAUUACCUCCAUUUUAGGCAUAAAUAUGUUGAACUUCAGGGAGGUUGAGUGACUUAUCCAGAGCCCCACAGCUAGUUAGUGAUUGAGCUAGGAUGGGAGUCUGCAUGUGUCUGGUUUAAGUGCUGGAAUGCUUGGCUGCCAAGCCCAUAGCUGCCCCUUUUUUUUAUUACUAUUAUUAGAAAUCUAUUUUUGAUUAUUUUUCUUUACAAAAGCCAACUGUUGGAGAUUUUUAAAACGCUCUACAGAUCAUUUGUUACCAUAUAAACAUAUGAUUGUAUAUAUAUUUCAUAAAGCAAGGAGAGAUUUUUGCAACAUUUGUUAUUCAUUCAGGCUCAUGAGGUCAACAUUGCCCAUUAGACUGUUGAUACAUAGUAGUGACAUGAAAAACAUUGCUCAAAACAAGUGGCUUCCUUGAGUUUAUCUAGUAAAGCUCUAAUUUAUAUUUAAUACUUUGUGUUUCUUAAAUCAUACUCUGAAGGGCCAUCUUUAACAUGAUAUUAGAGUAGAAAGUCUACUUGAUUGAGAUUCUUGGAUCUGUCUUAACUAUUUGGAAAAAUUUGGGCAAACCACACAGCUCCGGGAGUAUAGUCCUUUUGCUCUGAAAAGGAACAUGAAGGAAUCCUUUUUCUACUGAUCUUCUAGGUUUGAUACUAGAAUAAAAUGGCCUGUAAAUGAGAACAUUUUCUAAUUUAUGUUUUGAAACUUUUAUAAGAGUUCAUGGAUGCUCCCAUCAUAUACAAUAUAUUUUCUAAGAUCUGUCCUAUUGGAAAUACAAUAUCGACUUGUGACAAUGAUAUAAUGCUGAAUACGAGCUCAUUUGCAUGAGGAAGAUUGACAGUGUUUGAAUUUAAAAGGAUCUGUCCUAAGCCUUGAACAUUUUUUGCUUAAAGGUUCCCAAUAGUGAGGGGUAGUGGAGAGAGAUGUUCAAUUGUACAUUUCCAUUUUUAAAUGAAUUUAUUGAUUAAAGCUAGAAACAGUACAACUUCCACCUUAACUCAUAAAUUUCAAAGAUUUCUCUUUGUGAUGGAAUGAGAUAAACCAAUCAUAUAUUCUGCCCAGUAUGCCUCUCCUCUGUUCCUUUAAAAAAUGUUAAAAUGCCAUUGAACCAAUUUUUACAGUACUAUUAAUCAGUGUAAUCAGUACUAAUACACUACUUUACCAGCUCAGUGCCACUUGUCAGUAAUAUGACAGGGAGAAUUUUACGUCUUCUUCACAAAGGCUUUCAUCUAUUAGGGGGAAAAAGGAGAUCAGGAUUUUAAUUGUUAGCAAUCAGAAGUCUAUGUGAUUAAGACUGGCAUUCUGAAGAAGACACAUCAGAGAUUAUGCUGGGAAUAUUUUUCAUCCCUUAGGAAUUCUUUUAUGAAUUUGAAUAUAGUGUUAUUUACCAAUACCUGAAACCUUAAUUAUAGACCCACUGGAGAGUAAUAUGCCUGUUAGAAGAUAAAAGAAUUUGUGUUAGAGUUAAAGGUUUUCAAAUGUUCCAACUGGCUCCCUUCCCCCUUCUGUGUCUUCGUUUGCAUGUUUCUAAAAUUCAGUCCUCUAAAUGAAUCUUACUGGUUUGGUUUCUAAAAUGCUCACUUGAAGACUCCCGAUUUCUUUAUAUUUAGGCCUAUGAGGAGCACUUUUUUUCUGUUAUAAUAGAAGUGAUCCUUAGAGUGGCCAAAUGUAAAUUUGUUCCUAGUGUUUACACCCCAGUGCAGUCUCUGGUUUUCAGAUGAUGAAUUUCAAGCAGAGCAUAGGACCCAAAAGGAAAACUCAGGUAAGUGCAGUCCACAAGUAGUGGGGGAGAGAUGGCUAGCAUAAUGGCUGUACCUUCAGGGGUGAAGCAUUUACUGGGACAAGAAUAGAUCCAGAGGUAGAGAAUUUCUUUGGAGGGAACCCUGGGAGAGAAGAGCAGCCCAAGGAAGUUCUGGUUUUCCUGGAGCUUAUUGUGAUGAUUGCUUCCUGUCAGAACCACUUAACACUGCGUGAUGCUGUGAAGUGACCAAUGUACCAAGUCACUUGCUGAAGAUCCCAGAGUAUAGGGACAAGAAUCCACAGCCAAGUUUAAAGGACAGGCCAUGAGCUUGAACCCCAUGCUUCACUGGCCUAACUAAAGCUAAAAAGAAUCAUUGGAUGGUUUCAGCUUAGCACAGAGAAUAAAAAGAGAGGGAGAAGGAAGAUGAGGGACAGAGACAGAGAAUGGAAUCAUCCAUUGUCCUCUUCCUUCCUAAUUAAAAAAAAGUGAUGCUUACAUGUCAUUUUAACCAAGUAUGGGCAAUAAAAACAUCGUGUAAGUGUUUGCUGUUUGAUAAUGGCAUUUUAAUGAUUUUAUCAGACUAGAAUUAUACUAUUUGAUAGAUUUCUUAAUAUAAUUAAAAAGUAAAAUUAAGUAAACUUCCUGUAAUUUGGAUGCUAGGUUAAAAGCCUAAUUCCUAGUAAAUUACAAAGUCAGUGAUAAACUUCAGAUGUCGUUGACAAGUGUACUGGCAGUUUUACUAUUUAAACAUUUGAACUGGGCCUUUGUGGGGAAAGUUGACGUGGGAUUCACAUUUUUUCUUAGAAUUAUUUACUGUCUGCCUUUUAUCUCUACUAUGGACAUCUGCCCUUCUUUUCACCAACCUGGAUCUAGAAUGAACCUCUGUGUACAAGUUUGCGAAUUUCUGUCAAAGUAGAAGUUAUUAAUUCAGCUCAUAGUAGCAACAGUUGUGCAGACAAACUGCUUUGCCCAAGUUUGUGGUAUCUGUUUGUAUUAAGUAAUUAGAAGUGUAGACAAUCUGAAAAUGCUUUUAAAAGCAAUUUAUACGCAUGUUAACUUACUUAAACGUUAACAACCUCCUAUGUGUAUAUGUUAUAUUCUUACAUGCCAAGAGCAUUACAUUUGUAUUUUUUCCCUACUUUAUCCACCGAGCAUUUUGUGCUUUCUGGUCUUGAAAUGCAAAGGAUAAAAUAUGUCAAUUUCUGAGUAGCUUAUAAAGCAAAUACUACUUUGCAAAUAUACAUAUUAUAUUUCUGAAGUCAAAACAAGUAGCAUCUCCUUCAAGUGUCACUUAAAUGUAUUGGAAUACAGAUUUGAUUAUUAGAGAAAGUCAUCUAUUCGUACAAGGUUUUUAUGUUUUUUGUUUGUUUUGCAUUUUUUAUAGCUAGCAGUGGGAUUCUUGUUAAAAACAUAUUAUUGCAAAUGAGUUGUAAAUAAUAUGUAUAUAUGCAUGUGUAGAUAUGUACUUAAUUAAAUGAAGAAUACAUAUAUAAUAUAUAUAUAUAUGUAAAUUUGUGGCAUUUUAUUUCUUUUGAAAGUUGCUUUCUGCCAGUCUUGACAUUUUCUAAAUAGGCUCUGGAAUAUGAAUAAUGCCAGGUUAAGUUUACAAUUUGAAUAAUUUGAAAAGUCUUUUUUGUUGUUUCCUUAAGGCAGAGAUGAUGAUAAAUUAAAGGCACUAUCAUGCCAUUGUUGUAUAUGGACGUACUUUUUCAGAUUGUAAACUGUUUUAUGUUGUCUACGGGUUUUAUUCUAGUCUGUGCUAUCUGGAGAUAAAAGAAUCCAAACUGGUAAAAUGAAUUGUAAUAUGUGCAUUUCAGCCAUAUAACUUUAUAUUCAUUUUUACUUCUUUGAAUCUUGUCUUGAAAUAAAACAGUGAAGCCAUUUGUUCUAAAACUAACUUUAAA